CUGAGUUUUGCCAUGUUGCCCAGACUGGUCUCAAACUCCUGAGCUCAAGUGAUCCUGCCUCAGCUGCCCAAACUGCGGAGAUUACAGAUGGACAGAGGGGAGCCAGGGCACGGCAUGGCUUGACAUGGCUCGUGCUUGUGCCCCAAGAAACGGUUAAACUACUGACCCUGAAGGCAAAGGAGAGUCGGCUGCGCCGUUGUGCAUGGGAGCGGCUGGCUCAAGCAGCCAAGACAGAGCGGACAGUGUUAAGAGAGCUGCUAAUGAGAGAGCUGC
rnacentral:lncRNA from 1 species